ACAAUAUUUGUUGACAAGAACGAAUCACUGAACACGUUUAAAUAAAAGAACGCCGUAAGGUCACUUCCGGUGUAGACCGGCAUUUUCUGUCAUCUAUUUUCGCGACUUGUCAAAAUGUCGAUCCGUGACAUAAACGGGCGUUUCCAGUAAGUUAAAGUGAAAUAAACAGUAAUUUAGACCACGACUAUACUUUGGGAGUUUAUAUAAACGCAGAGAAACAAUGUCUAGAGAAGAACGUAACCAGUGAUCCUAGUUUGAAGGCUAAUUUAGUAAUUGAACUUUGUGUUUUGUUGGAGAAGUUACGGUUUUGAAAGACUGUGUUUAAGAGAAAGAUUGAUAUAAUUGUAAUUGUUGAUCAUAUUUAUGUGACUGGAGUUAAUGAUAAAAGUCAACUAUUGGACGGAAGUGCUGAUAAUUACAAAGAAAACUAUUAGUGAAAAUACUGUCGCGGUCGCUGGAUUGUCGAAUUCGGACGCUGAUUGACAAUUCAGAUGGAAAUAAAAAAGGCAAGGUGAGGAGGGAAUUAUCGGGGGCAGUAACUGUGUAAAACCGUCGAAAAGGCAUGUCAGUAGCUCAGGAUACUUCAUGGCAUAAACUGGGUUUCGGCAGUCUAAAAUCACACACAUUCUUGAUGUCCAAGCAAAAGUAUGGAGGGCAGAUAGUGAAGUAGGUCAUGUCUCAUCGUAUCUGUGAAACAUAUCUGUGAAACGUGCCAGUGGCGGCAAAGAAACCAGACCGGCCAGGUUGCAAGUGCACAUGACUGUCCACAAGUUGAG